CUGACGAGAACAGUCAUGCAAAGUCAUGCAAGAGCAAGUUAAUGCUGAUAAUUUGAUAAAGAGUGGAUACAACAUUAUUUUGUUUUGAGUUAUUAGUUCUGAAAGGUAUCCACACCUUGGAGAAGGUGUUUUGGGUUGCCGGACAUCGUCAUUUUAUCAUGUUUUGUCGAGGGAAACCUCCGGUUUUGUUUUUUCUGUGUAUGAAUCGAUUCUGAUGGCGAGCUAGAGCCCAGACCUGAGGAACGUGAAGCAGAGCACCGGCUGACAUGCGUGGAGAGUGUGAUGUCGGAAGCAUCUGGAGAAAGCACAUCUAUUACAUCAUCCAGAUAAGAAACAAAAUCACACUACCUGGUAACAUCUGUUUUUGUCCAUAUUUUGGUUUUCUGAAGACUCCGCCCAUUCCCCUUUAAGAUUCUUUGGAACAAUUAUUUUGUUUCUUAAUUAUAAGGUAAAGUGAUUUAAGUGUGUUUUAGAGUCAAUUGAAGAGUUGAAAACAGAUUUUUAAUGAUGUCAUGAAUCACAGUUGUUAUGGUCGGAUUGUCCGUUGUUUCCUGCUCGUGUGGACAGUUGAACACUUGUGCUUGUCUUCAUUACACACAGGCCCGUGUUCUCGGAGGAGAGAGAUAAAUUAAGUGGAGGGUAAAGAGGUGAGCCAGAAAUAUCCUGCUGUGAAUUGGCCUGAGAAGAACGACUGUGCCAAAGCAGAGAUGACAGACAACCUGAGGGUCAUUACUCUGUGAUUAAAUACUGUGCUAAAAGUCAAAUACAGAGAGAUCUCACUGUGACCAACGCUUGACCUCCUCGGAAACUUCAAAAGUCCUUUUCUUGAUGAAAAGCCUCAUAAUAAAUAAAGGUGUUUGCUGACUCGCUCCCAUUUGCUCACACAUCUGUUUCUGCGCUGUCUUGUUAUCACAGUCCUUGACCACGGCGGGAGCUCGCGCCAUCAUCCAGAUCACGGUGAUGGAUGAGCUGCAGUUUUUGGAGAGACCUUUGGAAAGAAGUUUUGGAUCCUGCUUAUGAGGUCUGACAGGAGUCCAAAAAAGUCCUGGAGUGAGAGAGGGAAGGUGAAAACCUCACAGUGAAAGGUUAUAAUCAGGAAUGAGCCGCAUCGAAGUCCUUCUAAGAAAGUCUCAGCACUCAGGAGAGCUGACGGACUAUCUGACACCUAAUCUUCCUCUUCUUUGAUCUAAACCGGAUGAAACUUUGAUACAUUAUUUAAUUGUUUAGCUGUUUUCAGUCCACGUUCACUUUUUUUUAGAUGUUUUUAGAAAUGCAGCUCAGUUAUUGGUGUAUAAGCAGGUUCACGUUCAUCUGCCCAGCUGCUCUGAUGAGGAGCAGCUCCCCCUGGAGGCCUGUAGGUGGACUGUGGGUGGACAUGGUGGAGCAGCUGCAGCCUUGGUGUCAUAUCCACAUUCCCCAGUGAGGAGCUGUUGGAGAACCAGCAGUCUGCGGACUGAUCGAUCCUCUAGGUCUGGGAGGCUCCACCUCUUCUUCCUGCACAGGUUUCAUCUUCUGGUCCAGGAGAACUUUGGUCCUCUUUGGUGACCUCGCCUCACCUGAUCCAGCCUCUGUUCGUCUCUCAGCCUGGAACAGAUUUUCUGCCUCAGGUCGUCCUGACUUCAGCUGCUCUAAACCUGACAACCGGCAUCUGGACACACGGAGACACCUGCCACUGUUGACCUCUGACCUCCUACUGCUGCUGCUCUGGAGACACUCGAGAUGAUCCUGACAAUGUUCUGUAGGUGGUGAGGCAGAUGGGAGUCAGGGAGUCACACCCCCCACACCCACCCCCACCUCCUCCACCAUCAUCAUCAUCAGACAACAGCAGCUGGCAGCCUGCAGCAUUUACCUCCUCCAGCUCUUAACUAGGACCUGACUAAUCACUGGUGCUCGGUUAGUGCCACCACACCUGCCCUCCCCCAUCACCGGUGGGACUGUCCCAUCUAGAACCUUGUGAUGGGGAAGAGUGAAAUGUGACGUCACCCCCAAUAUCGUCAAGUUCCAUUUAAGGAGUCAGAAAAAAACCACAGUUCCAAACGUGUCUGGAGCUCGCUGGGAUUCUGCGACAUUUUUACAUCGUAUUAUUCGUACGACGGAUUUAAUGUGAAAUAAAUACAUUGUAAAUGCGAUGGUGGCAGCCAUUUUAGUAAAUAUGGAAUCUCAUGUCAGGGGUUGGUGAUGUUGUGACUACAAAGGGGAAACGUGUCUUUGGUCAGAUGAAUCACUUCAUUUCAUGGUUAAUCCAAAACCAAAGGAUUCAACAACUUUUGUUUGCUUUCGAGUUCUCAUAUUAUUAUCUUCCUAAAUGAGAAAAAUAUCUGGUUUCUUUCGUUCUCUGUCACCAAAAUGAAAGUGGGAAACAUUUUAUGGACCAAACUACUUUGUGUGAAGAUAAUUAUCAGCCGCAGCAUCAGUGGUAGUGAUGGAUUAGGGUUUAAAACUAAUGAUUAUUUUCAUAAUCUGGUUAAUCUGUCGAGUUAUUUUCUUAAUAAAUACCGCUUUCCUGGGUCUGAUAUCACAAACACAAGCAUCUACAGAUACCGAUAUCAGUCCGAUAUCGUCAUUUAUGAAGCUGUUAACGACACAUUUGAAAGACAUAACAUGACUCGGCGAAAACGCUGUUGCUGAUCUUUUAUUUGCAUUUUUAGCAAGGCAGAUGACAUACAGAAUUGUUGGAUUGUAUCAGAUUCUACAUUUUUCAUGUCUGAUAUUCGAUCCAGUGAUUUUGACCAGUAUGAGACCGAUACCAAGUAUCAUAUAAGCUCAUCCCUAAUUCAUUGAAUAGUUGUUUGUUUCAAAAAAAUAUUUUACAAACCUUCAUAAAUUUCAAAUUCAGUUUCAAUGAUUUCUUUGUUUUAUGAAGCAAAGAAAACAGGAAAUAUCCACAUUCAAGAAGCUGAGAAAUCACAGACAAAUCAUUUAUUAUAAUAAUAAUAAUAAUAUAAAUAAUAAUAUUAUAAUGAGUCGUUGCAGUCCUGUUUCAGAUGAGUUGCUGUGAAUUCAGAAGUGGCUGCAGAUUCAUCUCUCUCUGCGCUGACAAACGCUGACAUACUAAACUAUUUUUAGCUGCUGUCUCUCCUGCACGCGCACACACACACACACACACACACACACACACAGCUGUGGACUGAAUGCAGAUGAAAAAGGAAAGUGAAGCACACACUGUGACCCGUCGUCGUUCAUUUUCAAGUGAAUUUGUCUUUUUUCAGUGAAAAUCUGUGAAUCUGUCAGAUUAUGUCACUUUAUUGUAAAAAUGAGACAUUAAUUCCUUUGAUGAAGUAUUUUAACAAAAAUGAUUCUGAUUAUAAAUAAACAACAACAAUAAUAAUAAUACUAAUACUAAUAAAUAUUUUUUGAAAUAAUCCUGAAAAAUAAAAAUCAUCUUUAAAAACAGUGAAUUCACUUUACCUUUAAGUUUGUUCAGAAACAAAUCUAUAAUGUAAAUGUACUGUAUGUUCCUGUAAUUAUAUAAUUUGUAAGA